rnacentral:tmRNA from 1 species
GGGGUUGACUGGAUUUGACAGCGGGUAGAAAUGGUAAGUAAGCAUGCAGUGCGUCAGUGAUUUGCACUUUAAUCUCAGUUACUAAAAUUUUAUCUGGCAAUAACAAUUAUGCUCUUGCUGCUUAAUCGAAUCAUAGUAGAUUGGCUUAAUCCCGGCACCAGGUGCUGAGACGAGACAUCACUCGGGAAUUCUUGCUCCGAAAUAUCCCGGUUCAGUGGUGCAGUUAAAUCGGAGAUAGUUUGCGGUAUCCUCGCAUCGUAAAUGAAACUUUAGAGGAUAAGGUAUGAGUUGAUGGCUUCGGUUCUGCUCAUACACGAAAAUUUAGGCGAAGAUAAGCAUGUAGAAAGCUUAUGGUUUCCUCGUUUGGACGAGGGUUCGAUUCCCUCCAGCUCCACAA